AGCUGUGAUGAAUGAGAUUUAGUAUGACCUGGUAUUGCACGUUAAGUCUGCAUUGACCAGAUAAUGAUCACGUGAUCUUCUCUCUGAGCUG